rnacentral:rRNA from 1 species
CCCUUAGAUGUUCUGGGCCGCACGCGUGCUACACUGAGUGGAUCAGCGGGUCAGGUUGCGCGAAAGCGUUUCCUAAUCUUGAAAUCCGCUCGUGAUGGGGAUUGACGGUUGCAAUUUUCUGUCAUGAACGAGGAAUACCUUGUAAGCGCGGGUCAUCAUCCCGCGCUGAAUACGUCCCUGCCCUUUGUACACACUGCCCGUCGCUCCUACCGAUUGAGUGGUCCGGUGAGGCUUUGGGAUCUGAGCGGAAAGAGCGUUUCGCUCGUUCUGCCCGGAAAACUCAGUCGAACCUUAUCAUUUAGAGGAAGGAGAAGUCGUAACA